UGCCACCAGGUCAGCCCUAGGAACAGGCUUUCUUGAUCCCUACCUCAUUAAAAACAAUUCAUUGUCUUAACUAUCAGCAUGACUGGUGGUUGGUGACAGUAAGAGGUAGCCUUGGAAACAGGCGGAUUUAUUAGGAAAGAAAAGGUUGUGCACAGAGCUGCUUUUGGGUAAAUCAUACCAAAAUGAUCGCCUGAACACUGUGAAGCCCAAAUUAAACUAUCACAGAGACCGAGCAUUGGACUCUUGAAGGUGGUGAGUUAGGGAGAGGGAUGUAGCAUAGUAAGCUGUUACUGAAACAGUGCUGUAGGCAAUAAUAGACACAUGUAAAUAAAAUAGUGUGUAAUGUGGGCUCACAAUCUCUGUGCUAAAACCAUGGCUGCUUUUCUUUCUCACUCAUCUCUCAAAGCCUCCUUCCCUUCUCUGUUUUCUUUCCCCAUCAACACUCCGCUCUAUAACUUAUUUUAACCAGAUUAUUCCUCCAUAAUUAAUUUUUUUACAUGGUAGGAGAAAGGGUAAAAAGUAUGGAACACAGGGGCAGUGUAAUUUCUCUUAAGUCCUGAAUUCUCUAGACUUAGUCUUAGCUGUAAAAUGUACUAAUUUCCCUAUGUAUUUAAUUUAAGGGUAAGUUAAAAAUAAAGCCUUAUUCUUUCCUUUUACAAGAAUUAGAGGAUUGCUACAUUAUACACCUCGUGAUCCAUAUUUUGGGAAAAAACUCAAAGAAAAAUAAAGAUCAUUAAACUUACCAUAGAUUUCUAAGACUAGACGCUCUUCUCCCUAUGAAUAUUACUGAAGAGAGAAUUAGAUACUUUUAAAGAAAUAAUCUGGAAAUGCCUCUAACUAUGAAAUUUACCAAAUAGAGGCUCAAGUACCUGUAAAGGAAUAAGAAAAUAGCAGAACCCUCCUCUCUAAUUCUAUUUUCUUCUUCUGAUCUAUGCUUUCUUCUAAAUAUGCAACAUCUGCCUCGACAUAGCACUAACUUAGCUCUUGGUUGUGUGCGGUGGUGGCAGCCAGUGUGUCAUUAAUCUGAAAAGACUGUCCCCUCUCAUCAUGUUGUCAAAAAGUAAGGAAACCUGAGAAUUUCUCAGUGGUAUUGAUGACACGUGGGUCCAGGCCAAUUUGCAGUGAUUCCAUGACCCUAUUUUAGUCCCUUGUUGAUAAUGGAGUCCUCAGUGUGUUCUUUCUUUUAAAAAUCUCUUAUAUUUUGAGUAAAUUGAUGUUCAAUUUGUUUGUGAAAUUUUUAUUUCUAUCAUGAAGUGCUAUCACAGAAAUGAUAAUCUUAAAGUGUGAACACAUAACGUUAUACUUCUAGCUUCUCAACGUUAUGGUCUUUCUAAUUCUGCACUGUAGGAGUUUGCGUCUAGGGCUGCUUAGCCUCUGUCUGAAAAGUAGCAAAGUUCCAGCGCAGACCCUGGAAUAAUUCAGAUCCCCUGCAUGUGGUGGAUAAGGAAAGCGAGGUCAGCAGAUCAUCAGCCCAAUGUUGGAGCAGGCUGUAACUUCUGAUAGCAUCUGACCCCUGCACUCCAGUAUUCUCAGGAAAGUGAUUACUCAUCUAGACUUGUGCACCUGAGUCCUUCCCUUCUGCUUUGGUAGGUCAGAAACUUGAUGGCCACUUUUCUCCCUGCACUACACUGCCCCCACCCCCUGCAAACUGGAUUCUCCUCCAUUUCCUCAAUUCCGUCUAGCCCUGGUGAGUGAACUGCCCCUCUGAAUGUCACUGUUGUGUGACUAAGCAUCCAAUAGCUACUCCUGGACCUCCCUUUCUUUCUGGAGCUUUUCCAACGGCCCGGGAUUUGGAUAUCCACCAGUCACCUGUCUUUGCUGACAGCAGUGUGGUAGAGCUCAGGUUCAAGCCCAGAUUUCGUCACCUCCAAGGACUGUGCUUGUCUGCACUAGAUCCUAGCAUUAUCUAUCCUGACAUUUUUACAGUGUUCCCCAAAUGAGGGAUUUGGCAGAGGGGGCUCUGCAAAGAAGCCCUCUGGAGAACACUAGCUUCCUAAACCGUCACCUUAUGGGGCAAAAGCCAACUUUCUUUGUCUAGUUGAUGUCAGUGUGACUGAAGGCCUCAGUGUUCCUAGGAGGAGAUAGUCUAGCAGGCCUAGGGCAUGGGGGUGAAGAUGGCCCACCACAAGGUGACCUUCUCAUUUGGCAGCAAGGGCAAAUUUGAAGCUUUCUUGGUCUAUAAAUCAGUCUAUAAAAAUAAAGUAAGGCUUUGGAGUAACAGCCACUAGCUUUGAGGAGUCAAACAGUCAUCCAACAUCCAACAUCUUACAUCAGUGUCUUUCUGAGGCAGAAGGAAAGUCAUAUGCCUACUCUCUUUUGAAAUGAAAGCAGAAGUUAUUUUUGCUGCAGAGCUGUAGCUUAACAUUUUCAGCAAGACAUGGAUGCCUUUUCUCAAUCUUCAUCUAGCAUGCUCUGACUACAACUCUCUCUUCAGAGUUCAGUGGAACUGAGACCAGGGUCCAGGUGGAUGAUUAAGGCCUGAAUCCCAAACUUGCCUUGGAUCAUACCACUGUUUCAGGUAAAAUCAGGGGGUAGCUCAGCCUAAAUUAUGCAAAUUAUUAUCUGUUGCAGUCCUGAGAAUAUGCCUCUCAGAUCUCCUACUGCAGGAAGCAUAAUCGACCUCCAGCCCUAGUUGCAAGGCCACGCUUCCAACCAACUGGCUGCUCCCAGCCCCUGACUGAGCAUGGCAGGAAUACCACAGAGGCCCAUUCCUGGGAUACAGGGCCUCCUCUAAUGGGUGUCUUUGGCUCGAAGACUCCCUUUUGACCUUGAUGAAACUUUCUUAGAACCACACGGUAGUCAGUGGCUUUCCUCCAUUCCCUUCUUCCUUCUUUCUUUCCUCCCUCCUUUCUCCUCUCCUUCCCUCCUUGCCUCUCUGCUUCAUGGGUAUCAGACCUGCCUUAUGGUCUGAUGGCUCUUCCUGCCUCCUCCUCCUCCAUCCCCAUUUUCCCUCACAGAUGUUUUCCCCAAUAAAUCUCUUACACAUUUAAUCUCUUCUCAGCAUCUGUCUCUCAAAGUACCUGGACUAAAUCAUUAUUUAACUAUUUUGUUUUGCUUGCAUUAUUUAGGACCAAACAUAAUUUUUUAAUUCAGGGUCAAAUAUCAUUCCUUAGAAGGAGGAAGACCUAAAAAUAAAGAAAUAUGUGUGUGAAUUAUAUUGAUGAAUUAGGUCUGCUGACUUAAACGUGUGGAAAAGUGUUCCAGCUGUGAAUGACCUAAAAUCUCUAGCGCGAGGCCCGAUCAAGUGGAAGAGCCAUUGGAAGAACCAGAAGGAAAGAGCCAAUAAGCAAUCUCAAGGAAGACACCAAGCUCUUCCUCAAAAUACCUAGACUGAUCAUCCACUGAUGCUUCUGGCCUGACCCAGGCUUUACUGUGAGAGUCCAGCUCCAGCACGCCCUUCACGUUGAUAUGGGUGCCUUCAGCAACUGUCCUCCUUUAUCCCCAGUUAUGUAUCUGUUUAUUAUUGGUUAUUGGGCAUUAUUGUCAGUAUGGACUCACAGAUUACUAUUUUCCCCCUUGGCUUAUAAUUUAUUAACACAAUUAUUUUGGUGCUCAAAUUGUCCUGGAUCUGGCCUUUGGAUGCACCAUCAGGCUGGCUCCUGUGUCUUUAUGACAUGCCGUGGGUAGUUUGUUUUUUUUUUUUUAAAAUAACUGCAUUCUAAUAAUAAAUUCCACUAUUACUGGAAAAAAUAAAAGCAGACUUUUAAAAAUGCAAAUCUCAUCUAAAAUAAUUUCAGGCUGCUUUUUUGUUGCUUGAAUUGUAUUGCCCCUAGUCCUUUUUGUUAUAAAGGUUUUUAUUAAUUUUUUUCAAUAAAUACAAAUUUCUUGAGGAGCCAUAGUGUGUUAUGUGCCCGAAAUUUUAUUGAGGCAAAAAGGGAAGGUAAAAGAAGUAUAACCUUCUUCCUUGCAUCAAGGAAUUGAUAGUAUAGCUAUGGACAGAAGGUCUCUUCCAACGUUUGAAUAACAAUUGGUGGCAAAGCACAUGUGAAGAUGAAUAGAAGUUAAGUAAAACCUCCUACUUCUAAUCAGUUGCAAGGGAAACCCAAUCAAUUCAUCCCUGAUGCCAGCCCAGCCUUCCUGAGCUCUCCCAGGGGCUGUGGACAGCCUGAAACCCACACUUUCCAGUCUCCCCGGUGCACUGGGCAGCACCUGAGAGGCCCUGGUGGACAGAAGGUAAGCCGGGAGCUUCUUCCCCAGAAGCCAGUGGCCAUCUGCAGAUGCAGACAGCUGGUGUGGGUGUUCGUCUGUGGUUUUUGGUUGUACUCUGAGAAUCACCUGCGUCAGUGCUGAAGGAUUGGUGGGGGAUUCUUUGUGAUCCAUGCCUUCUACUGUUUCUGUAUCUCCGGAAGAUGUGUUAAGUCUUUAGUUCCCAGUAAUAAACUUCUUACUCAAACUA